UCUAGGGGUACCAGGAUCAAGUUCAAGGUCCCCAGCACAGUGCGAAUGGCUUUUCAAGACCUGACUCCAUCCACCUUUCCAAACGCAUCUCUCCAUUCACAAGAACAGCCCCAAGUGUUUGAUGCUACUGGAUCCAUUUCUCAGCUGGAUGGAAUCCUCAUCCCUAUUUUACAGAUGAAGGCAAGGAACCCGCCCUUUAAGUAAACAUGCCAGAACUGGGUCACUCUGAAUGAGUAUCCUCUCUCCUACCUACAGCAUCCUCUUGGCACUCUCAGUGCUUGUGGCAGAAGUGACCUUGGCCAUGGAUGUCGGUGUCAGGGGCACCUCCACUUACGUGUCCUCAGUGCUCACUACUCUUUUACGGCAGAUUUCAUUUUUGAAAUCAGUUCCAAGUCAUUUGGAGCAAAAUCUGGUAAAAGAAGGAAGAGGAAAUUUGGACACAGAUGUGAUGCAGAGGGAGGAUGAUGUGAAGACACAGGGAGAAGCCGGCCAUCUACAAGCCAAGGCCUGGAACAGACCCUUCCCUCAGAGCCCUCAGGAGGAACCAACCCUGCAGACAUCUUGAUCUUGGAAUUCCAACCUCCAGAGCUGUGAUGUUCACUUUGUCACUUGAUUACUGCGGUAGCGGCUUGUCCUCUGCAAUUCCUAGUGUCACAGACUCUAAUCCUAAUUGUAAAGUUCUCAGAACACCGACUGUUCCCUGCUUCCUGCUUCUGUCUCCGCUGCAGCCGCAGCUGAGGCGCUGGUUCCUGCUGUGGUUUCUACCCUGGUGUGUUGUGAUUCUCGGGAUCUGUCUACCUGUCUCUCCAAUUUUGGGAGAAGCACUUCGCCCUGUGACCUCAGUUCUCUGAUGGAUCUAAGAAGACUUGUUGAUUUUUAGUUUGUUCACUUUUUACUUGAGAGGACAGAGUGAUGACUUCCAAACAACUUAUAUGCUGGACCAGAAACUGGAAGUCUCCUCCUGACAUUUUUGGAUGUUCUAAAGUAUUUCUCUGCCAGAAGAGGACCAGUAAAGUUAGAAAAACCCCAUUCAAUGUGGCAGAUUAAUUUCAUAUGUGUUUAGUAGGUUUUAUUUGAGACAACCUGAAAGACUGGCAAUGACAUGGGGUUUGGAAACCUGAUGUGACUGAUGUCUGCCUGUGUGAUUUUGGACAUGUUACUCUCUCUGAGGGUCAGUUUUCUAAUACGUAAAAUGGAGGUUGGAUUAUACUUCUUAUAGAAUUGCCUUCCUGUUGUUAUUUUUAUUCCUAAUUUAGAGAAUAGGAGGCAGCUGGGCAGGAUAGUGAGGAAAUCUCUUCCUUUACUGUGUCCUCACUUGGUUUUGUGCCCUGCUCUACUUGUGUACUUCUAACAGUAACUGUCUUUACUACCUCUUCUAUCUUUGAUGUUAAGCCUUCAGUGUCAUCCUUGUCUGUAUAUAAAGAUAGAAUCUAUAGGGCUUUGCUAUAGUAUUACAUUCUUCCACGAGCAUCAAGGAAACCCUGACAUAGACAUCUGGCUGAAGUUUGCAAAUUGAUGAUUUCUGUUUCCAGCCAAUUUUCUUUUCUGAGUCAGAAUAAUUUGAAACUCCCUAUAUGUUCCAUUGGUACUAUGUUAAGUAGCAUCUCGAUUUCAGUGACCAUAUUAGUAGUCAGGACAUUACUGAGGAUAGAGUUACGUUUGGCUGUAGGAAUUCCACAGCUUCUUUCCCUGUGUCUUGCUAAGUGAAGUACUUAGACUCUCAGUUCCUCAUUAUGAAGAUUCUAGGACACACCCCGAUGAGUACGUUCAAUUUGUUUCUAGCAACCUUUCCUUGGCAGAUGAGCUAAAAGGUCAACUGUUAAUUAAGGUGGAGCAAAAAUAAGGUGAGCACUGGCUGAGUCAUGGGUUGGGACUUGGAGCACUUCAAAGCUGGAGAUGGUUGGGUCCAAGUAAGUUGGAUCUGUUUCCUCCUGUUGCUGUUUCCAAAGGCCCUCAUGGAGGAGGGGAGGAAAUGAGAACCAAGAGGCGAAAGACCAAAGGAUGAGGAGAGGAGAGGGCAAGAGAUAAAGAGGAAAGAUAAGAAGGAAACUAAACUUUAUCGGGUGUUCCUCAGGUAUCAGUAACCAUCUUAUGCAUUUCAUUCUAUUGCUCCUCAGAGCCAUCCUCUAGAGUAGCGAUCACUCCUGUUUGUCCAGUAUCUGCUUUGUGCCAUGUACUGUGUGAUGGGCCUGGUGAUGUCAUGAUGAAUACUUCAUUCACAUCUGCCUGAACAGGAGGUGUUGACAGUCUAGUAGGGGACUCUGACAUUGAGAGAGUUUCCAUACAGGGCACUAAGUGCCUUGGGAGUGCCUGAAGAGUUUUCAGGCAAAAGUAAUUAGUAUUGCCUGGGGGAAGUAGGUCUGGAAAGAAUAAGGUGCAUGUGGAGAGGGUCCUCUAAGUGGAGGGAGAGGUAUAUGCAAACAUGAGGGCAUAGAACAUCAUCAUAUAAUUUGCUGUGGCUGGAACACAGGGAGUAGAGGAAGGGAGUGGCCUGAUCAUGGUGGGUCCUCUGGGCCAGCCCAAGUUUGGGCUUCAUGAUGAGGGAGAAAUGCCUCAGCAGAGAAACAACUUGGUAGCAUCUGUCUUUUAGGCAGGCUCCUCUAGCAGCAUCGUGCAGGAUGGGUUGGAAGUUGUUGAGAAUGAAGUGCAGGUGAUUCCAGAGAAAAGUCUGUUUAAACAGUCUAGACACAGACUAAUACAUGUCUGAAUAAGACAUUGAGGGUGAGAAAAUUCAUGGACUCCAGUGACUGUUAUAAAACAAUAGAACUUAGUGACUGAUUGUAUGGUGAUGGGAAGGAUGAGGGAAAUCCAAGAUAAUAGUCAAACUUCUGGGUAGGGUAAUUAGGAUCAGAGUAGCCCACUACCUUGUGUUAGAAAUUGGUCCUGGCAAUCACCCCUUGCUGCCUCUCUAAUGCAGUUGCCAAGGAAGCAACAGUGACAAAAUUGAUCCUUUUGGAACCAGUACUGGGGCUGGAGCAUGCAGAUAAGGGUCUAUCUCCUCUUCCUCUGAGUCUCAAUAUUGGAACACCCUACCUAGAUGUGGAAGAGAAGGGUCAAGCUGGCCAAGUCAACUUGCCUGUCCAACCACAUUCACAAAUGAGAUGGAAGAGCAAGACAGUGGAGGAUACACAGAAUUUAGUUUACAGUAAUCUCAUGCCAUCACUCAAUGUGCUUCAGUCUAUGUCUUGGAUUAGGACCAAUCUGUUUUGUAACUCUUCCACUUUGAGUGGGGUGGAUGGAAAAGUAGGAGGCAAAUGAAAAAAAGGAGCAAGAAUUUCCUCUUCUAUAUCCUGGAGAAGAAAUUUAGGAGAAACUGGCUUGAGAUGGGGAGAUGAUAAUCAUUUCAUUUUUUUUUAAGAUUUUAUUUAUUUAUUUGACAGAGAGAGAGAGAGAGGGAGAGAGAGCACAAGCAGGGGGAGCGGCAGGCAGAGGGAGAAAGAGAAGUGGGGCUCAAUCCCAGGACCCAGGGACCAUGACCUGAACUGAAGGCAGACACUCAACUGACUGAACCACCCAGGUGCCCCAAUCAUUUCAUUUUGAUAUGCAGAGUCUGAGAUGACGGUAGAACAUCCAGGUAGUAAGGUCCAUUACAAAGUUGAAAAUAAGAUUCUAGAGCUCAGGAGGGAGGUCUGGGCUAGAAAAACGGGUUAUGAUAUUAUCUGAAAAUAGGUGAUAGUUGAAGUCUUAUCUGUGGUUCACAACAGGGGACGCAGAGUAAACACCGGCAGCAUGCAAUUUAAGGGACAGGUGGGGAAGAUCAGUCAUGAAGGUGAGUGCUGAGAAAUUAAUGGGUAGGAGAAAAACCUGGCGAGUGAGGUCUGGGAAGCUACAGGAAGAAAGUCCUCAAGAAGAGUUGUCAGUAGGGCAUAAGGACAGGUAUGGAGCACCAGGAGAAUAGCUUGGAACAGCUACGAAGAAAAGGUGGAAAGAACAGAAAGAAGAUAAAUAAAAGGCAUUUUCAAGCUGCCAUGAGAGCAUGGCUGAAAAUGGAACCCCACCAAUCAUGGUGCCAGUCCCCAUGAAAAUGCCACUUCAGCAACAGUCAAAUGUCAGAUUACUAGGAUUGGGGAUUCGCUGGGUGAAUGUGGUGGGAGGACAAAGGGAUGGGGAGCUGAAAAUGUUGGGUUCCAGUUCAAAAAGAAGGGAAGACAUUUCAAGUGGGAUUGGGAGACUCUAAUAGGCUGCAGUUCUAGCGACUGCCUUGGGGUCUCUAUGCAGUAAGAGACUAGUGCAAAGGCAGGAAGAUGAAGAGGUGGUGGUUUAUAGACUGAAAUGUUGGAGUUUAAGGUUUCAGAGGCAAAACUGCUCCUCAUGAUGACAAGGGCCACUGUGGCCAUGGGAGUAGAUUGUAGAGGGGGGAGGGAGUUGGAGUUUAUUGUCACUGAGGCUUGGGACUAAGAGGCUAGUGUGUUAGGUGUGCUGCCCAUGUGGACACUGAAUUCAUUUAAGAUGAUAGCAGGUCUAAGGUGGAGAGGAAGACAACCAGGUAUCAAAAUACUUGAUGAAUGUAGAAUUGUGAUGCUCACUUUGGUGGAUUGUUACCUAGAAGAGUAGAAGGAGGAAUACAAAAUGGUUGAACCGUAAGAAAAAGGGAUUUGGUACAGGAGGAAAAAUAACAUCUUGAGAGCAUUGUUAGAGACUUAAGAGAAUGCCGGCCUUUGGUGUCCCUGUAAGGGAAUGAGCAGCCUCCAUGAAAAAAGAAAUAAAUAUCCUCAGGGAAGAGACAGGAUUCAAACAGUCAAGGAAGUAGAGAGAACAUUAUUAGGAGGAUGUCAUCCCAGAGGUGGCUUAUAUUGCAUAUGGCAUUUUCUGUUUCAUUGACUUUUUUCUAUUAAGUAUUAUUAAGAUAUUGUUUAAAUUAUUAUGGCUCUAGAAUAAAAUUUAAUUUCUGGUGUUUGAAGUCCAACUUUGUUGCUCUUUUUUCCUUUCAAAGUUUCUUAGUUAUUCUCACUUAAUAAAAUUAUUUCACUGUUAUUCAAACAGAUUUUGAAUAAAUGUAUAUAGUGGGCCUUUGAACAACCCAGG